rnacentral:tRNA from 1 species
GGGGUUGUGGCUCAGAGGUAGAGCGCAUGCCUAGCAUGCAUGAGGCAGUGGGUUCGAUCCUCAGCACCA